rnacentral:rRNA from 1 species
UACGUAGGGAGCAAGCGUUGUCCGGAUUUACUGGGUGUAAAGGGCGUGUAGGCGGGAUUGCAAGUCAGAUGUGAAAUUCCGGGGCUCAACCCCGGAACUGCAUUUGAAACUGUAGUUCUUGAGUACUGGAGAGGCAGGCGGAAUUCCUAGUGUAGCGGUGAAAUGCGUAGAUAUUAGGAGGAACACCAGUGGCGAAGGCGGCCUGUUGGACAGCAACUGACGCUGAGGCGCGAAAGCGUGGGGAGCAAACAGG